CAGAGUUGCAAAACUCCCAACCAUUGUGAACUUACCUCACCGUUGCUUCGGCGGGUAGCCAGGGGCAACCCAGGCCACGCCGGCACCCCCCUUCGGGGCCCGGCAAACCCGUCAGAAGACCGAAACUCUUCGUCAUCAGUGGCCUCUCUGAGUAACUUAUACAAUAAGUCA
rnacentral:misc_RNA from 1 species